ACGCUAUUCCGUUGAUUGCUUGAGGUGAGUAAAAGUGGUUGUGUAAAUAUCUUAUAAUAUGAAAUGCGAUGUUCGAUCAUUUAUUUAUCCAUGGUACGUUCAAUUUGAAUAAUUAUUUUUAAUAAUUGUUAUAAAUUGCUCAUUUUAUUGUUCUUUGUGGAUUGUAACAGUACACUCUGUACAUGGCUUUAGUUCAUAGGUUCGAUUUUGCAGAGGUAUGGCAUCACAUUUGUCAAGUUAUUUGAACAGACAUGCAUGAUUUUUGUGUGUAUAUUAUUAUUAUUAUUAUUUUUCAGGAUGACAUGAUCAGGUGGUGGUGGUGUUCUGUUCUUCUGGACAGCUUUACUCCGCAAAUAGCUCAACCACUGAGGGGAGGAACUUCACCAUUCACCAUGUCUUCAGGCAGAGUCCAGCAAAGCAGCUUCCACUGGAAAUCCUCAGGGAAGUUAUUUUGUCAGCGGGUGACUCUGCAUAUUUGACACUUUCUCUGGUUUGCAGAUGGUUUAGGGAUGUGCUCCAAAGUUUUUCGGAAAGCGGCACAGUUUGCCUGGCUAGACAUUGUGGCCAACUGGAAGAAUUGUCCUCCUGUCUCCUGACCGGAACGAGUUCAGACGGAUGUACAGCAUCAGGGAACGCUUGCAGUGCAGAGCCCUUUUCAAGUUUAACCCACCAGGGUACAGGGAAAAGGCCGGAGUGGUGAUCUUCUGGGCUUUUGUUUACACAGGAUUUUUUUUUUUUUUUUUUUUUUUGCGGCAUGAAACACAUUUGUGUGUUUAAUUCAUUGAAGGGAAAUAGAGAAUGGACUGAGAUCAACUGGUUUUGAUGUAUUAAUUGAUGUCAUUUAAAGUUAAACUUUGCAGUGUAUAAUGUUUUAAUAAAAAAGCUAUGGAAAACACGUGCAUGACAACAGGUUUCAGUCAUUUACAUCAGUCUAUCAUACUUUAAGGUUUCUCAUAUUUGAUGAUAACA